rnacentral:rRNA from 1 species
AGUGAACGCUGGCGGUAGGCCUAACACAUGCAAGUCGAACGGCAGCACAGUAAGAGCUUGCUCUUACGGGUGGCGAGUGGCGGACGGGUGAGGAAUACAUCGGAAUCUACUUUUUCGUGGGGGAUAACGUAGGGAAACUUACGCUAAUACCGCAUACGACCUACGGGUGAAAGCAGGGGAUCUUCGGACCUUGCGCGAUUGAAUGAGCCGAUGUCGGAUUAGCUAGUUGGCGGGGUAAAGGCCCACCAAGGCGACGAUCCGUAGCUGGUCUGAGAGGAUGAUCAGCCACACUGGAACUGAGACACGGUCCAGACUCCUACGGGAGGCAGCAGUGGGGAAUAUUGGGCAAUGGGCGCAAGCCUGAUCCAGCCAUGCCGCGUGGGUGAAGAAGGCCUUCGGGUUGUAAAGCCCUUUUGUUGGGAAAGAAAAGCAGCAGGUUAAUACCCCGCUGUUCUGACGGUACCCAAAGAAUAAGCACCGGCUAACUUCGUG